AGCAGUAGCCGCGGGAAUACGUAGGGUGCGAGCGUUGAUCGGAAUUACUGGGCGUAAAGCGUGCGCAGGCGGUUAUAUAAGACAGAUGUGAAAUCCCCGGGCUCAACCUGGGACCUGCAUUUGUGACUGUAUAGCUAGAGUACGGUAGAGGGGGAUGGAAUUCCGCGUGUAGCAGUGAAAUGCGUAGAUAUGCGGAGGAACACCGAUGGCGAAGGCAAUCCCCUGGACCUGUACUGACGCUUAUGCACGAAAGCGUGGGGAGCAAACAGGAUUAGAUACCCCCGUAGUCCCUGUCUCUUAUAC
rnacentral:rRNA from 1 species